GUCCGGACGGGAUAAGUGCUGAAAGCAUCUAAGCACGAAGCCCCCUUCAAGAUGAGGUUUCCCACUGGCAACAGGUAAGAUCCCAUGGAGACUACGUGGUAGAUAGGCCGGGGGUGUAAGCACAGCAAUGUGUUGAGCCGACCGGUACUAAUAGAUCGAGGUCUUGACCU
rnacentral:rRNA from 1 species